rnacentral:lncRNA from 10 species
CUGCAGUUGGCCUGACUUCACCAUCUCAUAACUGCCAUCACUCCUGGGUCAGGAAACAAGCAGGGCUCACUGGCUUCAGGGGACCACAGGUAACAGGAUCAGCUGGAACGUAGCCACCAGUCUGUGGGCAGGGAUUUUCCCAGAGCCCAGCUUCAAAUGAGCCCUCUUUGUUCUAGCAAGUGUCUCAUGAAGAGAGCCCUGGAAACAGCUUCACCAUUCCCUUUCAGCUCCUUGGAGGACAACAACCCUUUUACAGCAACUCAGAAAACGUCCCACUGGUUACUCCCAUCUUGGUCCUGGGAUCACAUUCAUUUACUGUAGGACAAACCUGAAGCUUGUCCCCCUAAGUGGCCUUAGCAGGCAGAGCACUUGGUGUUAUUGGAAGGAAAUAAGCAAAUAACAAGCAGAAAAAUCGUGCUCCAAAAUGCCUUCACAGGCCUGCUUAGAGGAAUGUCUACAAUGUCCACGAUGUAUCACUCUUUUAAAGUAAAACUGAAGUCCCAUUCCAUUUUUAAAAAUACAAACAUGGUACGUUGGUGAUAACACAUUCGAAUGUUAUCUGCCUUUAAUGCUUGUAGUGGGUUGAAUCACAGCUUCUCCCAAAAGAUGUCCACAUCCUAUCCCCAGAACCUACAAAUGUGUGACAAGUGCCCUUGUAAGUGAGAAAAAAGGAAAAUACAUGCACAGAGCGAAGGACACGUGAAGAUGGAGGCAGAGACUGGAAUAAUGCAACCACAAACCAAGGAGCGCCUGGAGCCACCAGAAGCUGGACGAGGCAAGAAAAGAUCCUUCCCUCGAACCUUCAGUCUCAGCCCCUGCCCACAUCGCGAUGUCAGAAUGCUGCCGUCCACACGUGUUCCAGCCCACGGCUCAGAGAAGCAGACUGCUUCCCGGAAAGGGCUCCAGGUCUCCCCAAAGGAGCAGCCAGUCCAACAUAACCUCUGCAGAGAAGGCUCUGGGCUGAACAAAAAGGUGGAUUAAAAGCUUUCUCAGGUUGCAUUUCUCUAAAGUGCAAGCUUGAAGAACCAUCCGACUUGUGCUCCAAGGCAAAUUCACAGCUGUUGGCUUCAGAUGAAGAAGUCACAGGCAACCCAAACCUGGUUGGAAAGACAGUUUGCCUCUGAUUUGUCACACAGGGAAUGCUCCAGGGACCGGGAAGAAGUGUCUGAACUAGCAGGCUGGCGCACAUCCAACUAGGAGUAGGAACACACACAAAUCCCAGGCAGCUGACGGUUAAAAUGUCUUGCCUGAAUUCCUUUUCUUUGCCGAAUUUGAUGGCAGUGAUCAAGCAGCCUCCUUGGGAAGCACCUUGAGGAUACAGGGGGAAAGAAAGCUUCCUUUGGGGUUUCCAAAACACUCCCCUUUCAUGCUUGUUUUCACUUAGUCAUUGCCUCCCUCCUGGCCUCCGGCACCAGAGCCUGCAUCCUGCCUGCCCCAGGUAACCGGAGCCCUGAGUGUGCACAAAGCACCACUAUGCCAGAGUGAUGUUAUCAGGCAGGCUGGCCUGCUCCACACGGCAAGACAGCGGCUGAGCCAGGGUGGCCGGGCCCAAGCUGAAACAGGACUCCCAUGCUGCUGAGCGAGGACAGAGUGGCCUUUGUGCGGGACAAAUCAUAUUUAGGCCCAUUCCUUAUUAACAUUGCAGUCAUCAGAGCAUUUUCUUUCCUGACUUCCAGCUCCAAAACCCUGCAUAGGAUUGUGUAGGAUGUGGCUCAGCCCUGGAGUUGACAUUGGGUGGAAAGGACGAUGUGACUCUUCUCAGCUUCAAUUUUUGGAGUCCAUCAGAACACUGAGUGCACAAUUAUACAUGAAGAGCAGCAAGCCUUGUGGCCAAACCACAAAACUUGACUGGAAGCUUGAUAUAGACUAGAAAAGAUCUGGUCAUCACAGAGAGAAAUCAUAUCUUUUGCAGGAGUGAGAGCAGAUUUGGGAACCAUACAACCCUGGAUAUAUAUUUGCACCCUACCACAAACCUGCUGUGUGCCUUUGGGCAAGUCUCUUGACAUCUCUGAGCUUCAGUGUUCUCAUCUGUAAAAUGCAGACAAUAGUACCUACUUGCUAGUGUUGAUGUGAUGAUUACAGACAGUAAAUGCAGACAAAUUAGCACAUGGUAGAUGCUCAAAAAAUAGUAGCUUUAGUAUUAAAUGGAUUUUCUGUGCCCUUUCCCACCGCCAAACUAUUAGAAUACAUCUCAGUAGCCCUAUCACAUAGAUUAAUAUACAUCUUAAGGUCUUAACAAUGUACAGUGUAGAAUUUGGCCCAAAUCAGAAGAAAAUCAGCAAAUAAACCGACAAUAAAUCAAAGCCAGACAUGUAAUACCAUAGCCCUUUUAAUGAUACUAAACCACACCCAUGUUUCAUGAGCAGUGCCACAUCCAGAAAGAAUACUGCUGCACAAAAGCAUGAGAAUUUGCUCUUUGAGGUUUCCAAUCUCCCACCUGCAACUCCAUUGAUGGCCCACAUUGAUUGUGCCCCUCCUUAGGCAAGGUCUGGUAGGGGGGCCCUGAAGAUACAACCAUCAGGGAGCUUAGUUUGGCCUGGAGUGAAAUAAAGCAGGAUAACAAACUGGCAAAGAGUUCAGCCGGGGAGAACAGACAGCCCCUGCCAAUCCUUGCUUGUCACACUCACCAGCUGUGUGAUUUGGGGCAUGUCAUGUUGCCCCUCUAGACCUCAGAGGCCUUAUCAAUAAAGUGGCAAUAACAAAGCACCUCUCUCAUGAAUAGAUGUAAGAAUGCAAAUGGCCUGGUACAUAGAUCGCAGGAAAUAUUUUCUGAACUAGUGACUUGCUGUUGAGAAGUUUAGGCUGGGAAGAAGAAAUAAGCCAAUGAAGGACAUAAUUGGAGGCAAGAGAUGUUUUUGGCACCCUCUGAUCACGCUGGGUAGGCAGGAGGCAGAGUGCUCCCCCAGAGACCUUCUGUGCACUUUGGAGAGGAAGAUGAGGCCACGCCAAAGUUUGAAUAAGUAGUGAAGGCACAUUACACUGGAGAAAAGGCAAUGGAAAGGAGGUGACAUUUGUGUAUUGCCUGGUAUAUUCAGGCCAGUGCUAGGGGCUUUACCUAUGCUAUAGUGUUUAAGUCUUACAACAACCCUAUUAACCCUCUUAAACCCAUAUGGAAAUUUGGGAAAACUGAGUUGCAGAGAUAUUAAGUAAUAUUAACAAUUAUUGAACAUAUAUCGUGUGCUCUAUUGAUGAUUUCAUAAUCAUUUUCUUUUAAAGAGCCUAAUGGCCCAAUAAGUAAGAUAUUUCCAUAAAAAUCUAACAUAAAGCACAAAAGGUUUAAUAACCUGCCCUGGAUUUUUCAGUUGAUAAAGGAAGAGCCAAGAUCCAAAAUCAGAGACCGUCUGGCAGCAAAUGCCAGGUGCUGCGAAUCUCUCACCGCGCACCACCCAUGAAACCACUGGUUCUCAAUAUUUGAUGUGCAUCAGAAUUACUGGUUGAGUGUUUUGGAAUCUCAGAUGAUCAGAUCCAUCAGACCUCCUCUAGAACUUACCACAUCAGAGCCUCAGGGGUCUGGGCUCAAGUUAGUGUGUUUUGUAAAUGUUUCAUAGGGCAUUUUGCACUUGACAAGUAUGGAGAAUCACUUCACAAACUAUAAGGAGUUUUCGUACACUCUCUGGUUUUCUUAUGCUCUGCUCUCGCCGGGCACAUUCUGAGGAAAAUGGUUCCCAUACCUGUGGCCAGGGCAGACUUGCUUUGUCAAGCCUAGAGGCCACCUGGUAAGCAUGGGAACUAGCCUAACUCUGGGAGAGGUCAGCUGGGCAUCCUAGGCAGCUCACUGCUCCUUUUGUCUUAACUGUUACUUUCCUUGAAGAAAUAACAUAGCAAGAAGCAGAUGGGGGUUGGUAGGAAUCCUCCAUGACUAUUUUUUUAUGUUCUUCUACAACUUUGCUUAUUUGUUAUUUGAUUAAAUAACAAUAUUGUUAUUUAGUCAAAAUCCUAGGGCAGAUAUUCCUUUAUUCCAUUUUUAUCACAAGGUAUGAAUAGUUUCCUGUAUUUUAAUUUUUCCAUGUCUUUUCAUAAGCUUUAUAAUUAUAUAUUUGUACUUGUAAAAUAUCUCUCUCAGUGGAAAGGCCAUAAUGUAGUUAACUUUUUCUCUAUUGUUGGGCAUGUGGGCUGUUCCUAAUUUUUUAGUAUUAUGGAUAAUAUUGACGUAAAUAGCUACCCAUGCAAUUUCAAUUCCUUCCUUCCCUCCUUGCUUCCUUCCCUUCUUCCUCCCUUUCUAGCAACCAUCGACAACAGCUGCUUAACAUCCACUAUCAACAGGUUCUACACUAGACAUUGGGUAAAAAUCUGAAAAGGACCCAGCUCUAGCCUUAAAGAAGUUUAUUGUCUGGGCCGGGUGUGAUGGCUCACACCUGUAAUCCCAGCACUUUGGGAGGCUGAGGCGGGCAGAUCACUGGAGGUCAGGAGUUUGAGGCCAGCCUGCCCAACAUAGUGAAACCCCGAUUCUGCUAAAAAAGAUACAAAAAGCAGCCAGGCAUGGUGGCGCAGGCCUGUAGUCCCAGCUUCUCAGGAGGCUGAGGAAGAAGAAUCACUUGAACCCGGGAGGCAGAGGUUGCAGUAAGUCGAGAUUGUGCCACUGCGCUCCAGCCUGGGCGACUGAGCAAGACUCCAUCUCAAUUUAAAAAAAGUGUAUUGUCUAAAGGAAAAUGGAGAAAACAAGAAAAUUUUAAAAGUACUUAUAUUAAAACACAAUGAGUCUGCUAAAAGAUGUUUGGUGAAACAAGGAGAGCUGGACAAGAAGGUCAGCACUAACCAUUCCACCCAGAGUGUUGGUGGUAAGUGGGGCAGGGACAACUUCCCAAAGGAGGGAGCUUUGCAGCCAGGUCCUGGGAGAGCCUGUGAUAAGGGAAAGUGGACUGAGUGAUGGUUUGGGUUUGGUUUCAUUUCAGAUGAGCCUUUAGGCCACCUUUCCCACUCAUGUUAGAAGUGAUCCUCCUACUGGCAACGAUUGUAGGCCAGCAGUUCCAAGUCCUCUGUGAGAAGAGCCUCCGUGUUCCCUUCACAUCACACCUGAACAGAGACUCACCCACCGUCUCCUAUGGCUGGGUUGAGCCCUUAUGGCUGUUUGGAUCCCCUUCUUGCUGUGAAGGAUCCAUGUAUGCUUUUAUAAAACUUUCUCAUGGCUAAAAUUCCCCGGGACAUAGCUGGUUAGGACACUUAGAGAAUUUCAUCCUUCAUUAAAGCUCAGCUCAAAUCACAUCUCCUCAGCCAAGCCUUCUUCAACCCCAGCAGACUAUAAUAACCCAGCGUCUACACAGUACACGUGGCCAGAGCAGACCCUGGUUGUCUAAGAUUAAGUUUAUUCACUUUAGAGGAGGUAGAGUGAAGGGGCUUUUUAAAAGAAAGACAAAAUCAUAGUACAGAUGUGACAGAAAAGUAAAUAUUUACUUAGAACGAAAGAAAACGGUAUUAUGAAAUUUUAAAAGCUGGCAAGUACAAUAAACAUCAGACAAUUCAGAAAAAAUGCAUGUUUAUGAAUUAACUGCCUAAUACACUUUUUGUAUUUUUCUCUACAAAACCAUGUACACAAAAAACGUUUUUAGCUACAUACAAUUUUGUGUGCAUACAUAGUUUUAUAACAUCUUCUACCAAAGAUAAUAAAAAUAUAAUUUAGUCUUUCUUUUAGCUUUGUAAGUUAAAAUUUGUUUGUUACUAUUGAAACUUGGGAUGCUUAAAAUACGUAAACACACACAGAUUUAUUUCAUUUUGUAUAACAGCUGCAGAUUUGUCUCUACAAACACAGAUAUCAAGAAUUCUAAUGAAUUCUCUCUCAUGUAAUUCCCAUUACACAUAUCCACAUACAAACGCACAUUCUACAUAAGAAUGUUUAGUGGGUGUGCAUGUUUAUAUUUCAUAAUUAUGUAUUAAGUAUUUUCCUGCCCUGGAAAAAAGUUCCAUUUAGAUUAAACAAAAUUCUCCACGUACAAUUUGAUGUUUGAAUGAAUUGUCCAAAGACUAGCUUCUGGUUCCAUUUAUUUCAAAUCGUGUUUGUUCUCAUGACCUAUAUACUUCUGGUACCAGACAUAACAUGUCUGGCCCUGCUGCAUCUUUUUUCCACCAGCGAAUUGGAAUUCUAGUGGUAGAUGUAUUCCUGGAAGCCAUUUCUGUACCAGCUUGGCUAGCAGUAGCUUAACUAUACAAAUAAAUUACUGUAAAAAACACAAAUCCCAAAGUAGGUGUAAUCCCAACUCAACUGCCCCUUCACCAAACCUCAAAAUUGUUCUCAGCUCUUCCAGCACUACUUAGCACCAGGGGAAAUGGGAUGCAGAGAUGGUCAUAGUGGAAAGAAAGUGUCUUCACUAGUUGCUAUUUAAAUAUCUUACUCAUGAAAAUUUUACAAAAAAAAUCCAUGACCACAUGAACACUUUGUGAGGAUCUAUCCAAAGGUCG